CACACAUGUAUACAUUUACAUGUAUGUAUGCAUGUACACAUGACAUGCACAUGCAUGCAUAUGUGUGUAUAAAAGAGACAUAAUAUGAGAGACAAACAAAAAGACCAUGAAAGUAUAGGGUUGCCAAGGACAAGGAAGCCUAGAUCAUCAAGCAAUAUUAGGUAGUCUAACAUGUCAAAUGCUGAAGAGGAGCCAAAAGGAAUAUAGACUUAAAAAUGUGUUUAAAUUUAUCAGUUGGAAGGCUAUUUAAAUAUUGCAAUGAAAACAGAUACCAGAUUCAAGAGAAUUACAAAAGUGAAUGAGUUUAGAAGUAAACAAUAUAGGCACCUAUAUAAGACUACAUAGUUAAGAAUUUUGGCAUUAAAUUAAAAGUGAUGAAUUGAUCAUUCUCUUGAAAGGGCAGUGGGUCAAAUGAAAUUUUGAGGAGGAGUUAACUGUUCAGUUUGAGAAGCAGUCUUUUCUGAGACCAAAAGAAAAGUUGAUGGAUAUAGAGACACAGAUAUUUUAAGAUAGAGAGGAGGGAAGAUAAGGUAUCUUCCAUUAAAUUGACUUGAUAUUAUGAGUUGAGUGGAAGGUGAAAUAACCUUUGAAAAUAGGAGAACAUUAGUCUAGUUAAAUAAAAAAAGAAUAUUAGAUUAAGAAUCUGAGGAUCCAAGUUUGAAUAUAAGUUCAGCUCUUUACUGCAUAUAUGAUCUUGUAGAAUUCAUUUCAACUCUCCAGGACUAUAUUUUCUUAUAUGAAAAGUGAUGGAAUUGAAUUAUACUAUGAUCUUCUUUAAGGUCUCUUCCAAUUCUAAAGCUAGAUUGAUAAGAACUGGUGUUAGUGCAUUAGUAGAGGAAAAAGUUUGCAACAAAUAUCAUAAAAAAGUGUACUAGGUAGUCAAUAAAAUAUGCAUAAGAUAUUUACAGAAUAGUUGAGAGACCUCAGUUCAAGUCUGGUAACAUCUAUCUAUCUAUCUAUCUAUCUAUCUAUCUAUCUAUCUAUCUAUCUAUCUAUCUACAUAUAUAUAUAUAGACCAGUUAUACAUGUUACUUUUACUUUUUCCAGUAGUACUCUGGCAUCUGGAAGAUGUGAUAACAUUAGAGAGAGUAGUGGUGAUCUAGAUUUGGACAUGAGUAAAUCUUCUAUAAUGCAAGUACAAGAAGAAAGAGUCAUCAGAUGGAAUGCUUGAUGGCUUUGAAUGGGAAGUACAUUGACCUGAACUAAGCAACAAAAUCUGUUUCAAUUAUUACAUACACUGGAAAUGGUGGUAGAAUUAUCUCCAGGUAAGUUCUUAGCUAACAAGUCUAAAAUAUUGCCACUACUUCAGAACUUCUAUUAUAAAUCAGUUUGUCAGCUCUAUUUCUUAUAUUCAUGAUGAAUUCAUCCAGAUUUUAAAAUAAAAAAUGAGUAUCAUAUAAUUGACCA
rnacentral:lncRNA from 1 species